rnacentral:lncRNA from 1 species
GUACUUUGCCAAUCAGAGUAACUUUGAUUAGCGCCAUUUCUACCCCAUACGGGGUUAUUCACAUGGUCUCCUCCAAUCCGCAACCAUAGAGUUGGAGGAACCGAUCGACGUCCUGUAGGGAACGUCUUACGAAGACUGAUAUUCCAAGGCCGAAACCCUCCCAUACGUCGAGCCCCUUUUGCGAAUCAGGAUCCUUCUUCGAUCGAGGAGGCAAGUGGAAUGAUGGCCUGAGCGACCGCUUGGCUCAAGCACCACGGUGGAGUUUCCGGUGCUUCUUUUUCGACCUGCGAGGAGGGAAGCAGCUUUUGCUUCCCUUUUCUUCAAUUUUUUAGUUUGUAUUUCUUUAGUUUGAUUUCAAGCCCUGUACUUGUCCUUACGGACUUUUCAUUUCAAUGAGGAAGUAAGUGUG